rnacentral:rRNA from 2 species
GUUGGGUAGGGGAGCGUUCUGUAAGCCUGUGAAGGUGGCCUGUGAGGGUUGCUGGAGGUAUCAGAAGUGCGAAUGCUGACAUAAGUAACGAUAAAGCGGGUGAAAAGCCCGCUCGCCGGAAGACCAAGGGUUCCUGUCCAACGUUAAUCGGGGCAGGGUGAGUCGACCCCUAAGGCGAGGCCGAAAGGCGUAGUCGAUGGGAAACGGGUUAAUAUUCCCGUACUUGGUGUUACUGCGAAGGGGGGACGGAGAAGGCUAUGUUGGCCGGGCGACGGUUGUCCCGGUUUAAGCGUGUAGGUGUGUGUUCCAGGUAAAUCCGGUUCACUUUAACACUGAGGCGUGAUGACGAGGCACUACGGUGCUGAAGUAACAAAUGCCCUGCUUCCAGGAAAAGCCUCUAAGCAUCAGGUAACAUCAAAUCGUACCCCAAACCGACACAGGUGGUCAGGUAGAGAAUACCAAGGCGCUUGAGAGAACUCGGGUGAAGGAACUAGGCAAAAUGGUGCCGUAACUUCGGGAGAAGGCACGCUGACACGUAGGUGAAGUGAUUUACUCACGGAGCUGAAGUCAGUCGAAGAUACCAGCUGGCUGCAACUGUUUAUUAAAAACACAGCACUGUGCAAACACGAAAGUGGACGUAUACGGUGUGACGCCUGCCCGGUGCCGGAAGGUUAAUUGAUGGGGUCAGCGCAAGCGAAGCUCCUGAUCGAAGCCCCGGUAAACGGCGGCCGUAACUAUAACGGUCCUAAGGUAGCGAAAUUCCUUGUCGGGUAAGUUCCGACCUGCACGAAUGGCGUAAUGAUGGCCAGGCUGUCUCCACCCGAGACUCAGUGAAAUUGAACUCGCUGUGAAGAUGCAGUGUACCCGCGGCAAGACGGAAAGACCCCGUGAACCUUUACUAUAGCUUGACACUGAACAUUGAGCCUUGAUGUGUAGGAUAGGUGGGAGGCUUUGAAGUGUGGACGCCAGUCUGCAUGGAGCCGACCUUGAAAUACCACCCUUUAAUGUUUGAUGUUCUAACGUGGACCCGUUACCCGGGUUGCGGACAGUGUCUGGUGGGUAGUUUGACUGGGGCGGUCUCCUCCUAAAGAGUAACGGAGGAGCACGAAGGUUGGCUAAUCCUGGUCGGACAUCAGGAGGUUAGUGCAAUGGCAUAAGCCAGCUUGACUGCGAGCGUGACGGCGCGAGCAGGUGCGAAAGCAGGUCAUAGUGAUCCGGUGGUUCUGAAUGGAAGGGCCAUCGCUCAACGGAUAAAAGGUACUCCGGGGAUAACAGGCUGAUACCGCCCAAGAGUUCAUAUCGACGGCGGUGUUUGGCACCUCGAUGUCGGCUCAUCACAUCCUGGGGCUGAAGUAGGUCCCAAGGGUAUGGCUGUUCGCCAUUUAAAGUGGUACGCGAGCUGGGUUUAGAACGUCGUGAGACAGUUCGGUCCCUAUCUGCCGUGGGCGCUGGAGAACUGAGGGGGGCUGCUCCUAGUACGAGAGGACCGGAGUGGACGCAUCACUGGUGUUCGGGUUGUCAUGCCAAUGGCACUGCCCGGUAGCUAAAUGCGGAAGAGAUAAGUGCUGAAAGCAUCUAAGCACGAAACUUGCCCCGAGAUGAGUUCUCCCUGAGACUUA